AAAAAAUAAAAAAAAUAAAAAAGUAUAAAAUAAAAUAAAAAUUCAAAAUCUUUUUAUUAUUAUAUUUAACAUAUUAUUUUUUAUUAUUAAAAUUUAUUUUUAUUCAAUUUAUUGACAAAGCCAUGAAUCCAUCCAGAUUCAUUUACUUAGCCUUUAAGAAAUAGAUAAAAUCAUGUUAAAUGAAAUUAUUCUAAAAAUAUUCAAAUCUCAUUCCGUUUUUAACUUAAUUCUUAUUUAAAAAUAACACAAGCUUUC
rnacentral:lncRNA from 1 species